rnacentral:rRNA from 1 species
GACGAACGCUGGCGGCGUGCCUAAUACAUGCAAGUCGAGCGCAGGAAGCCGACGGAACCCUUCGGGGGGAAGUCGACGGAAUGAGCGGCGGACGGGUGAGUAACACGUAAAGAACCUGCCCUCAGGUCUGGGAUAACCACGAGAAAUCGGGGCUAAUACCGGAUGGGUCAUCGGACCGCAUGGUCCGAGGAUGAAAGGCGCUCCGGCGUCGCCUGGGGAUGGCUUUGCGGUGCAUUAGCUAGUUGGUGGGGUAAUGGCCCACCAAGGCGACGAUGCAUAGCCGACCUGAGAGGGUGAUCGGCCACACUGGGACUGAGACACGGCCCAGACUCCUACGGGAGGCAGCAGUAGGGAAUCUUCCACAAUGGACGAAAGUCUGAUGGAGCAACGCCGCGUGAACGAUGAAGGCCUUCGGGUCGUAAAGUUCUGUUGUAAGGGAAGAACAAGUGCCGCAGGCAAUGGCGGCACCUUGACGGUACCUUGCGAGAAAGCCACGGCUAACUACGUGCCAGCAGCCGCCGUAA